rnacentral:ribozyme from 1 species
GCCUCCUCUACAAUCAAUUUUGUUGUCUAAAAUCCCCUAAUUUUCCAUCAUGAAGUUCGCCGCCCUCGCCACUGUUGCCACCCUCUCCACCGCCGCCGCCUUCGCACCGGCCGCCACCAACUCU